rnacentral:lncRNA from 1 species
GCAGAGCAAGAAAAGGCAGCUGAAACUGCAUGGUAAGAGGAAACUCCAUUUUAUGAUUGGGGAAAACUAGGAGCAGGGUGACAUUAGAUGGUUGAAGUAACUUUGUUGCUGGAGAGUAAAAGAAAGACUCCCGUCUACAUGUGGCUUGGGACUCCUAGAGAAGAAUAGCGGCCAUCAGGGACACUGGACAAGAAUAUGAGGAAGAACAAAUAUAUGAAGGAAUAUAUGAAGAUUAUCAGGUGGUCUAUUACACAGUCACUCCAUAUUACGAUGACUUUGGAGUCAACUUUACCCUUGACUAUUCCCAAUUUGAGGAGGAGGAUAGAAUGGCCAGUACUCAGUCCACUACACCAAAGGAGAGAUUAUACACAGAGAAGAACUGGGGCCAAGAAGGAAAAGAAGAUGGCCCCAGGGACAGAAAAGAAUCUACCACAGAGGCACCUUCAGCUAUGGAUGCUGCUGUGCCCACUCUGCAGCAUCACCUCCCACUCCUCCUUCUGCCCUGGGUUCUGCUGAGGUGGAUAUUGCUACUUUAGAAGGAGAGAGAAGGCUGCCAUGACUUCUUUGAAAAGGGGGUGGGGGGGGAGUGGAGUGCAGAAACUGGAAAAAGAAAUAAAUAAUUGAACCACAA